rnacentral:rRNA from 1 species
GAUGAACGCUGGCGGCGUGCCUAAUACAUGCAAGUAGAACGCUGAAGCUUGGUGCUUGCACCGAGCGGAUGAGUUGCGAACGGGUGAGUAACGCGUAGGUAACCUGCCUCUUAGCGGGGGAUAACUAUUGGAAACGAUAGCUAAUACCGCAUAAAAGUCGAUAUCGCAUGAUAUUGAUUUGAAAGGUGCAAAUGCAUCACUAAGAGAUGGACCUGCGUUGUAUUAGCUAGUUGGUGAGGUAACGGCUCACCAAGGCGACGAUACAUAGCCGACCUGAGAGGGUGAUCGGCCACACUGGGACUGAGACACGGCCCAGACUCCUACAGGAGGCAGCAGUAGGGAAUCUUCGGCAAUGGGGGCAACCCUGACCGAGCAACGCCGCGUGAGUGAAGAAGGUUUUCGGAUCGUAAAGCUCUGUUGUAAGAGAAGAACGAGUGUGAGAGUGGAAAGUUCACACUGUGACGGUAACUUACCAGAAAGGGACGGCUAACUACGUG